UUGAUUAAACAACGACAAACCGGAAGUUAUGCCGACGGUUCAACCGAACCGUCGGCAAUUCCCUUGGCCUUAGCCGUUUUUUUGCCCUAAAAUUGAAAUUGCCCCACGCCGACCCCUCUCUUCCCGUGCCUCUUCUUUCUUCCCUUCGAGGCACCGUCCUAGCCCUCUCCUGCAGCCCCGCCGCCGUCGAUCGACCACCUCGCAUCGCCGGUCGCUUGCCUCGCCGCUGCGCCUACAUAUUUGUUCCUUCGUCAUUGGCCACCCGCACGGCCUCUAACCACUUCUUCCUUCGCUGUGGGUCGUGUCAGGUUGGGUCGAUAUUAUUUUCGAAAGCUACUUUUGAAGAAGAUAACAUGAAGACAACAAUAUCCGAAGAUGUCGACACCAUUUUCGUUAGCUUGCAUAUCUAGUAAAUGUGGACGCCGCCCCCUACUGCUGGCAAUGGUAAUACAGACGAGGUUGUGUCGAUGUUGUUUUGACAGCUUUUCGUGCGUUGAGAAAAUCCUUUUAUGAUGCUUUUCCGACCUUUUUCGACACUUCUUUUGGCAUCUGAAAAAAGAAAUCCGAUAUUAUUGUUAACUAAAUAUGUUACAGUUAAUUCGAAGUUACCUCUUUUUUUUUUUUUUUUAA